UUUGAAUUUUCUCAUAGAAAAAAAAAAUGUAUUACGGAUGCCUUUUUUUUGUAGGUUUUUUUUUUUUAAUGUGAUCAAUUUUGACUUAAUGUGAUUACUGCUCUAUUCCAAAAAGGUUCCUGUUUCACAAUACCUCAAGCUUCACUUAGCCAUUUGCAGACCAGGCGGUCAGGCUCUGUCUGACCCACGGCCUCCUGCUUCGGCAGACAGACACGUGGACAAGAACCCAAAAAAAGGGGCCUGGUGGGGAUCCCCGACCCCCGGCCACAUUCACGAGGACCCCUGGGCGUGUCUCCUCUGCCCUGCGCCUGUUAUGCUGGACUCUCCACCUGACCUGAGACUGACCAUUCAGUAGGUUUUUUACAGCUGUAUCGUUCUCUUCGUAUAGCUAUGAAAACUGAAUUGUUGUUGUUGCUGUUGGUGUAACAAGUGUGUCUUCACGUGCCACCGUGGUGCUGUGCUGUAGGACUUGGUCAUUUGGCAUGAUUGCAAUUGCUCCCAGACCGUGUCUCGGUUUGGGGUGCGUUAUAUGUGUUAUAUUAGUGUUCUGUUUGUGGUUCUGGUCAUUAUAGCAAAAAAAAAAAAAAAAAAAGCUCAUUUAAAGAGACUUCAGAUCUCAACGAUAAGCCAGCUAACGGGGCUGUAUGCCCAAGAGCCGCCAAGCACGCUGCCGAACCAAAAGGACUUGCACCGUCCACCGCAGCCCCAGACGGGGCAGCCGCGCCCCCCAGGCCCGUGGCCGGCGCAGCCCCGCCUCGCCCACCCUGCAGCCAGACCCUCGCUUGUGCUUACCUCAACCCUCCUGGCUGUGGCGCCUCUGUCUGAACCAAACGGGGUCCGAGCGGGACGGUCUGUCCGUGGCCGGCGGGGGGGGAACGUGUGUGCGCUGAGGCCAAAGGCAGGGGCGGGUCUGGGGACUCAGGCAGUCUGUCCCAGGGCCGGCGAGCGGGCGGGCGCUUGGGGGGGUCUGUGUGUGUUUAUGGUCGCACGCCGCGGUGUUUCCCAGCACAGACAUGUAACCGGCACGUUUCCAGCAGGAAACAAGACAAACGUGAAAAGUCUAGAAAUAAAAUUGGUAAAACCCCAGUGCGGUGCCUGCUUGUCUGUCUCCUGGGGCGGGCUGAUGGGUGGGCCGCUGCGGACACCGGGGCUGGGUCAGGCCGGACAUCCAGCCCGGAGGUCUGCUGUGGGGUGGGCCAGGUGGUGCCCCCGGAGAUGGGGGACGUGCUUCAGGCGGCCCUAA
rnacentral:lncRNA from 1 species